AAUAGAUACCCCGGUAGUCCUGGCCCUAAACGAUGAAUGCUUGGUGUGGCGGGUAUCGAUCCCUGCCAUGCCGUAGUUAACGCGAUAAGCAUUCCGCCUGGGGAGUACGGUCGCAAGGCUAAAACUCAAAGGAAUUGACAGGGGCCCGCACGAGCGGUGGAGCAUGUGGUUCAAUUCGAGGCAACGCGAAGAACCUUACCAGCCCUUGACAUGGCAGGACGGUGUCCAGAGAUGGGCUCCGUUCCCUUCGGGGACCUGCACACAGGUGCUGCAUGGCUGUCGUCAGCUCGUGUCGUGAGAUGUUGGGUUAAGUCCCGCAACGAGCGCAACCCUUGCCCUUAGUUGCCAUCAUUCAGUUGGGCACUCUAGGGGGACUGCCGGUGAUAAGCCGAGAGGAAGGUGGGGAUGGACGUCAAGUCCUCAUGGCCCUUACGGGCUGGGGCUACGACACGUGCUACAAUGGCGGUGACAGAGGGCAGCUACUCCGCAAGGGGAAGCGAAUCCCAAAAAGCCGUCUCAGUUCGGAUUGU
rnacentral:rRNA from 1 species